CCAAUAGCGUAUAUUAAAGUUGCUGCAGUUAAAAAGCUCGUAGUUGAAUUUCGGGACCAUCAUGUCGGUCGUGCCUCGGUACGUACUGGUAUUGUUGGUUUCUCCCUUCUGACGAACCAUGAUGUCAUUUAUUUGGUGUUGUGGGGAAUCAGGACUGUUACCUUGAAAAAAUUAGAGUGUUUAAAGCAGGCUCACGCUUGAAUACAUUAGCAUGGAAUAAUGAAAUAGGACGUUUGAUUCUAUUUUGUUGGUUUCUAGGAUCGACGUAAUGAUUAAUAGGGAUAGUUGGGGGCAUUAGUAUUCAAUUGUCAGAGGUGAAAUUCUUGGAUUUAUUGAAGACUAACUACUGCGAAAGCAUUUGCCAAGGAUGUUUUCAUUAAUCAAGAACGAAAGUUAGGGGAUCGAAGACGAUCAGAUACCGUCGUAGUCUUAACCAUGAACUAUGCCGACUAGGGAUCGGAUGAUGUUAAUUUUUUAAUGACUCAUUCGGCGCCUUACG
rnacentral:rRNA from 1 species